UCCGAGUUGUCCCCGGCAGUCCUCUUAGAGUCCCCGGCAUUACCCGCUGGCAACUAAGAGCAGGGGUUGCGCUCGUUGCGGCACUUAAGCCAACACCUCACGGCACGAGCUGACGACAGCCAUGCAGCACCUGUGCUAGCCCCUUACGGACACGGGCUUUCACCCGCUUUAACUAGCAUGUCAAGCCUAGGUAAGGUGGGGAUGACGUGCUGGAAGCAAGCU
rnacentral:misc_RNA from 1 species